GACGGAGGGUGCAAGCGUUGUCCGGAAUUAUUGGGCGUAAAGAGUUCGUAGGCGGCGAUUUAAGUCUGGUGUUAAAUACCGAAGCUCAACUUCGGCAUGGCAUCGGAAACUGGGUCGCUAGAGUGUGUCAGAGGCAACUGGAAUUCCAGGUGUAGCGGUGAAAUGCGUAGAUAUCUGGAGGAACACCAGUGGCGAAAGCGAGUUGCUGGGACAUAACUGACGCUGAGGAACGAAAGCCAGGGGAGCGAAAGGGAUUAGAAACCCGGUAGUCC
rnacentral:rRNA from 1 species